UUUUUUUAGACUCACUUUUUUUGAGUCUCACUCAGUUGCCCAGGCUGUAAUGCAGUGGCACGAUCUCAGCUUACGCAACCUCCACUGCCCAGGUUCAAGCAAUUCUCGUGCCUCAGCCUUCUGAGUAACUGGGAUUACAGGCACCCACCACCACGCCUGGCUAAUUUUUGUAUUUUUUGUAGAAAUGAGGUGUUUUUUGUUUUGUUUUGUUUUGUUUUGUUUUUUGAGGCGGAGUCUCUCUCUGUCGCCCAGGCCUGAGUGCAGUGGCCGGAUCUCAGCUCACUGCAGCCUCGGCCUCCCGGGUUCACACCCAUUCUCCUGCCUCAGCCUCCUGAGUAGCUGGGACUACAGCGCCCGCCACCUCGCCCGGCUAGUUUUUUUGUAUUUCUUUUAGUAGAGACGGGGUUUCACCGUGUUACCCAGGAUGGUCUCAAUCUCCUGACCUCGUGAUCCGCCCGUCUCGGCCUCCCAAAGUGCUGGGAUUACAGGCUUGAGCCACCGCGCCCGGCCGAGAUGAGGUUUUACCAUGCUGGCCACACUGGUCUCAAACGCUUGACCUCAAGUGAUCCGCCCGCCCUGGCCUCCCAAAGUGCUGUGAUUACAGGCAUGAGCCAGCACGUCCAGCCCAAAUUUUAUGGUUUUUGUUUUUUUUUUUGUUUUUACACCUAAGUCCAAUCCAUCUGGAGUUUAUUAUGAUGGGUUGGAUCUAGGAACUGUUUGGAAAUUUGCAACAAGAAAUAUAUUUAUAGUCCCUGGCCCACUUUAGAGGUUAUAUCUUCAAGGAAAUAAUCCAACAUAAAAGACCUGCAAAGAUUUUCACAGCAACACUAUUUACAAUAGCAACAGUUUGGAAAGCCCAUAUACCCACCAUUGGGGGGAAAGUUAAGCAAACACAGACUAGGAGAAGUAAAAGUGUAUAUGAUGCUUUUUCUUUUCUUUUCUUUUCUUUUCUUUUUUAAGAGACAGAGUCUCAGCUCUGUUGCUCUGGCUAGAGUGCAGUGGUAUGAUCAUAGCUCACUGCAGUCUGGAACUCCUGGAUUCAAGUGAUUC
rnacentral:lncRNA from 1 species